rnacentral:rRNA from 1 species
AUACGGAGGGUGCAAGCGUUAUUCGGAAUCACUGGGCGUAAAGGACGCGUCGGCGGGUUGGCAAGUCAGAUGUGAAAUCCUACAGCUUAACUGUAGAACUGCAUUUGAAACUGCUAACCUAGAGUAUGGGAGGGGGAGAUGGAAUUAGUGGUGUAGGGGUAAAAUCCGUAGAUAUCACUAGGAAUACCGAAAGCGAAGGCGAUCUCCUGGAACAUAACUGACGCUAAGGCGUGAAAGCGUGGGGAGCAAACAGGAUUAGAAACCCUUGUAGUCC